rnacentral:lncRNA from 1 species
CUAUUUCUAGUUCUUGUGCUUUUAUAAAGUCCAAAUUUUGUUCUAAUUUUUCUGAAGUCUUUCUUUGUUUAAUAUGUCCAGCCUCUACUAAUUCUAAUGUUCUUACUAUGUUUUUAUUAUUUUCUUGAAUUUUUUCUCCGAAGUUUAUUAUUAAAUCUAUUAAAGUAUUAUAUUAUUUAUCUUCAGAAUGUAAUAUAUGCUCUCCACUACUAAAAUUACACUUUAUUACUAUGUUGUCUUUUAAUAUUCUAUAUUUCUUUUCUGGAUGGAUUUUCAAGUCUAAAUAN